AACGGCCGCGGUAUCUUAACCGUGCUAAGGUAGCAUAAUAAUUUGUUUUUUAAAUGAAAACUAGUAUGAAUGGCCCUUCAUUUUCUAACUGUCUCUCUAUAUCCUCUCUUAAAUUUCUACCCCCGUGAAGAAGCGGGGAUUCCUCAGUAAGACGAAAAGACCCUGUCGAGCUUCAGCUAAUGAGUGGUACUGUUUAAACUUUUAUUUGUUUGUGUGACCCUUUUAAGCUUUGGUUGGGGCAACCAUGGAGUAAUUUUACCCUCCAGUUAAAAAGAAGAAUUUUAUUCUCUUUAUUAUUUAAUGAACCAAACUAUUUUGGUAAUCAGAAAAAGUUACCGCAGGGAUAACAGCGUAAUCUUCUUUGAGAGCCCUUAUUGACAAGAAGGUUUGCGACCUCGAUGUUGGAUUGGGGCAACCAAAAAGUGCAGC
rnacentral:rRNA from 1 species